AGAAUGCUCUGUGAAGAACAACGAUAGCAGUACAAUAGAAAUUGAUGGGGAUUAUAUGUUUAAGAGAUAAAUGAAGAGGAAAGGCACUUUGUUAACAUUCUUUACAAGGAUAUGUUUAUAUUAUAUAGGCAUGAGAAUUAGGUCUCAAAUAGACUGGCUCUGCGGUGUAACUCUAGGCAAAACAAUUCCACAAGUAUUGGCAUGGUGACAGACUACACAGUACAGAGCUUAGACUAGCAAAAAAGGAUUAGAAAUA
rnacentral:misc_RNA from 1 species